rnacentral:rRNA from 1 species
CAGUAGCCGCGGUAAUACGGAGGGUGCAGGCGUUAAUCGGAAUUACUGGGCGUAAAGCGCACGCAGGCGGUUUGUUAAGUCAGAUGUGAAAUCCCCGAGCUUAACUUGGGAACUGCAUUUGAAACUGGCAAGCUAGAGUCUUGUAGAGGGGGGUAGAAUUCCAGGUGUAGCGGUGAAAUGCGUAGAGAUCUGGAGGAAUACCGGUGGCGAAGGCGGCCCCCUGGACAAAGACUGACGCUCAGGUGCGAAAGCGUGGGGAGCAAACAGGAUUAGAUACCCCAGUAGUCCCUGUCUCUUAUAC